rnacentral:pre_miRNA from 1 species
AAUAAGAUCACUUUUUAGUUUUUUAAUAUAAUAUUUUGACUUUUCGUCUUAUUUGAAUUUUUUUGCGGUUAAUAUUUUUAUUGUCACUAGAUGAUAAAAUAGGAAUAGUACUUUAUGUGUGACUAUUUUUUUAAGUUUUUUAAUAAAUUUUUCAAAUAAGACGAACGGUUAAAUAUUGGACACGAAAAAACA